rnacentral:tRNA from 1 species
GGGCCUGUAGCUCAGUUCGGCAGAGCAGCGGACUUUUAAUCCGAAGGUCGUGGGUUCGAAUCCCACCGGGCCCACCA